UUGAGGGCAACGUCUGGUGCCAGCAGCCGCGGUAAUUCCAGCUCCAAUAGCGUAUAUUAAAGUUGUUGCAGUUAAAAAGCUCGUAGUUGAAUUUCGGGGUCAGUAGGUCGGUCAUGCCACUGGUAUGUACUGGCCUCACUGAUUCCUCCUUCCUGAUGAGCCGUAAUGCCAUUAAUUUGGUGUUGCGAGGAAUCUGGACUGUUACUUUGAAAAAAUUAGAGUGUUUAAAGCAGGCUAACGCUUGAAUACAUUAGCAUGGAAUAAUGAAAUAGGACGUUCGAUCUUAUUUUGUUGGUUUCUAAGAUUGACGUAAUGAUUAAUAGGGAUAGUUGGGGGCAUUAGUAUUCAAUUGUCAGAGGUGAAAUUCUUGGAUUUAUCGAAGACUAACUACUGCGAAAGCAUUUGCCAAGGAUGUUUUCAUUAAUCAAGAACGAAAGUUAGGGGAUCGAAGACGAUCAGAUACCGUCGUAGUCUUAACCAUAAACUAUGCCGACUAGGGAUCGGAUGAUGUUAAUUUUUUAAUGACUCAUUCGGCACCUUACGGGAAAC
rnacentral:rRNA from 1 species